CAUCCUAUAAAAAGAACAAAAAAAAGACAAUAUUAACGAUCAAAUCUGAUAUAUCAAAGAGAAUUAAAAGGAAGCGACGUUCUAUUAGCUGCACAUAUAUACAUACACACACACAUGUAUAUCUAUGUUUUCGUAAAAUGAUUACUAUCGAGUAAAUGACGUUCUUCCGUACUUCGGACUAAUAACAUGUUUUAAAGCGCAUAUACAUAUGUGCGCACAUGUAUAAUAUAAUAUGUGUAUGUGUGUGUAUACAUAUAUACAGCAUACAGUGGAGAACUUAAGUAUUUCGUAGAGUAGAAGUACGGAAAUAUAUUUCUACUGUACGAAUACUUAAGUAUUCAACUAUGUAUAUGUAUAUAUAUGUACGCAGUAUACGUUACAUCAUCAUGAGCACGUAAAUUCGUCAAUGGUAGCUGACAGCUGCAAGAAUGGCAGCCGUUAUGUCGACUCAAUGGAUCGACCUCGCUCCUCGAUAUACCGUCCACCCACGUUAAAUUUAGCAACAAGCUUGAGGGCGCGCCAUGCCGAACUUGGACAGGGCGAUAAAGGAGUCGAUUUGAGGGUGAAGUUUCCCUCAAAGUAAAUCUUUUUGCAUAGAAAAUAAUUUACUUCUAUUUCUUUCUAUCUCUUUUGUUCAUUUUUUUAUUUUAUAUAUAUAUAUAUUUUUAUCUUAUUUUCAUUUCGAAUUUAUUUUUCGAUAAUAUGUUCUUAUGAAAGAGAAAACGUAAAAAGAAAAAAAAAAAAAGAAAAUGGGAAAAGAAACAAAUAUUACAAUGAUAACAAUAUUUUUUGUCAUCAUAAUCAUCAUUAUUAUCGUAAAAAAUGUAGUUUUACGUGCUAGAUUUAAGAUACUUCAAAGAGAAAUAUCGCCAAGUCGUAAUGCCACAGUCUCAUCAGCAUUACGAAAGAACGGACGAUUUUAGGCUGGCAAACGCAUGUGUCUCGCGAGACAUCGAGAUCUAUUUAAAAUUUGAAAGCUAAACGAUUAGCUAGUUUCAAGGGUAAUGUCGACCUCAAAUCACUUUGACGAUUAUACGCAUCGCGAAUCGCACGCAUCACGCGAAUCGCACGCAUCCAAGGUGCCAGGACAAAGAACAUUUACAUGUAAAAGAAUGAUUUAACAAAUUGGAAAUAUCUUUUCGUAUUUUUUUCGAAGAAAGUAAAGGCAAUGUUUUGGAAUUUGAAUAAGAUAUAGGAACUAAUAGUAAAAUGAAAGAAUAAUAUUGUCAAGAAUUUUUCCAGCGGUCGAUAAAAUUUCUUUCUAUCCGAAUAUCGCAAUCUUGUGAUUUCAUUCGAUAAGCAACAAUGACUGUUUUACUUGUUCGACCAUAUACCAUACAUGUUGUCCUUGCUAAAUCAAUAGUAUUGAUGAUAUAGUUGUUUUAUUAAUCAUCGGAAUAGUUAAAGACUUCACUUAUCUACUUUAUUUUCAUACUUCGUUCCUUGAAUCUAAUUGAUUAUUAAUAAAUAUAUACAUACAAUUAAUAUAUAAAUAUAAAUAUACAAUCGUGA